rnacentral:rRNA from 1 species
AAUCGCGAAUCAGAAUGUCGCGGUGAAUACGUUCCCGGGUCUUGUACACACCGCCCGUCACACCAUGGGAGUCGGGAAUGCCCGAAGUCAGUGACCCAACCGGAAGGAGGGAGCUGCCGAAGGCAGGCUCGAUAACUGGGGUGAAGUCGUAACAAGGUAUC